GGAUUGCACCACUGCACUCCAGCGUGGGCAACAGAGCACGACUCCGUCUCCAAAAAAAAAAAGCCUCCGGAAAAAAAAUUAAUUAGAUGCCUCCUUCUCCAUACCAUACUAAAAAAUAAAGUCCAAGAGAGAUGAAGAGUUUUAAUGUCAAAAAUAAUCAAUACAAGCUUUAGAAGGAAAUACAAGGCCAGAGCCGGCUCCCUCAGCUUGCAGGAAGGUGUGGAGGGGAGAGGCGCGGGCAGGAACCGGGGCUGCGCGCGGUGCUUGCAGGCCAGCACGAGUUCCUCUCCCUGCAGGGCAGGGUUAAGGACCUGCAGUCCAUGCCUGAGCCACCCCCUUCCCCCGUGGGCUCCUGUGCAGCCCGAGCCUCCCCGUCGAGCGCCGGCCUCUGCUCCACGGCGCCCAGUCCCAUCCGCCACCCAACGACUAAGGAGUGCGGGCCCACAGCUCGGGACUAGCUGGUAGCUCCACCUGCGGCCCCAGUACAGAAUCCACUGGGUGAAGCUAGCUAGGCUCC
rnacentral:lncRNA from 1 species